rnacentral:rRNA from 1 species
GAUGAACGCUGGCGGCGUGCCUAAUACAUGCAAGUCGAGCGAACGGACGAGAAGCUUGCUUCUCUGAUGUUAGCGGCGGACGGGUGAGUAACACGUGGAUAACCUACCUAUAAGACUGGGAUAACUUCGGAAAACCGGCGCUAAUACCGGAUAAUAUUUUGAACCGCAUGGUUCAAAAGUGAAAGACGGUCUUGCUGUCACUUAUAGAUGGAUCCGCGCUGCAUUAGCUAGUUGGUAAGGUAACGGCUUACCAAGGCAACGAUGCAUAGCCGACCUGAGAGGGUGAUCGGCCACACUGGAAGUGAGACACGGUCCAGACUCCUACGGGAGGCAGCAGUAGGGAAUCUUCCGCAAUGGGCGAAAGCCUGACGGAGCAACGCCGCGUGAGUGAUGAAGGUCUUCGGAUCGUAAAACUCUGUUAUUAGGGAAGAACAUAUGUGUAAGUAACUGUGCACAUCUUGACGGUACCUAAUCAGAAAGCCACGGCUAACUACGUG